rnacentral:rRNA from 1 species
GACGAACGCUGGCGGCGUGCCUAAUACAUGCAAGUAGAACGCUGAAGGAGGAGCUUGCUCUUCUGGAUGAGUUGCGAACGGGUGAGUAACGCGUAGGUAACCUGCCUGGUAGCGGGGGAUAACUAUUGGAAACGAUAGCUAAUACCGCAUAACAGUAGAUGUUGCAUGACAUUUACUUAAAAGGUGCAAUUGCAUCACUACCAGAUGGACCUGCGUUGUAUUAGCUAGUUGGUGGGGUAACGGCUCACCAAGGCGACGAUACAUAGCCGACCUGAGAGGGUGAUCGGCCACACUGGGACUGAGACACGGCCCAGACUCCUACGGGAGGCAGCAGUAGGGAAUCUUCGGCAAUGGACGGAAGUCUGACCGAGCAACGCCGCGGGAGUGAAGAAGGUUUUCGGAUCGUAAAGCUCUGUUGUAAGGGAAGAACGGGUGGGGGGGGGGAAAGUUCACACUGUGAGGGGAUCUUACCAGAAAGGGACGGCUAACUACGU